rnacentral:rRNA from 1 species
UACGUAGGGGGCAAGCGUUGUCCGGAUUUAUUGGGCGUAAAGAGCGUGUAGGCGGCCAGACAGGUCCGUUGUGAAAACUCGAGCUCAACCUCGAGACGCCGGUGGAAACUGCAAAGCUAGAGUCCGGAAGAGGAGAGUGGAAUUCCUGGUGUAGCGGUGAAAUGCGCAGAUAUCAGGAAGAACACCCGUGGCGAAGGCGGCUCUCUGGGACGGUACU